rnacentral:lncRNA from 1 species
GAAGUUCAAGAUCAACCUUAGCCAUAUAGCAAGUUGGAGAUCAGCCUGGACAACAGAAGACCUGAUCUCAGACUGCACAUAAGUCUGUGUCUUUACUAUCCCAUCGCACAGCUUCUUUGCUUUGCAGUUUAUCGCUUUGCAGACAAAGUGCCAACCAUUGACGUGUGCUCGCCUUCCAGGUCAAGAGCAUCUUUGUGCAUCCGGAGCCGUUCUCAAUUGAAAACGGGCUUCUGACACCGACACUGAAAGCCAAACGAGUGGAGCUUGCCAAGUUCUUCCAGACACAAAUCAAGAGCCUCUAUGAGAGCAUCGAAGAGUAACUUAAGUUGCUGAGCUGGAAGCGGUGGGGGACGAAGCGGAAACUAUGUCCAGCGAACUUUUCCAGUAAAUGAAGCAAUCACUAAAGGACUGUCCUGAGUUGGGAGCAAAGCAACGUGGACGAGCUCGAUGUGACGCCUGCACUGCAGGCGUCUUCUGUGAUGGAAGCUCUGGAUCUUUCUCCUUGGACUUCAGUCCCUGCAGUAUUUUGCUGCCAGAUAGCAUGUGGUGCCUCUACCUGUAAAUGUCAGAUCUUUGAAAUAAACUAUUACAGAU